AUUGAAAUACCCAUUCCCGUAUGAUCACCGAAAUUGAGCAACGUCAAGCCUGGUCAGUACUUAGAUGGGUGACCGCUUGGGAAUACCAGGUUCUGUAA